rnacentral:rRNA from 1 species
GGUCAGGAUGAUUAUUGGGCCUAAAGCAUCCGUAGCCUGUUCUGUAAGUUUUCGGUUAAAUCCAUAAGCUCAACUUAUGGGCUGCCGAAAAUACUGCAGGACUAGGGAGUGGGAGAGGUAGACGGUACUCGGUAGGAAGGGGUAAAAUCCUUUGAUCUAUUGAUGACCACCUGUGGCGAAGGCGGUCUACCAGAACACGUUCGACGGUGAGGGAUGAAAGCUGGGGGAGCAAACCGGAUUAGAUACCCGGGUAGUCCCAGCUGUAAACGAUGCAAACUCGAUGAUGCGUUGGCUUGUUGCUAGCGCAGUGUCGCAGGGAAGCCGUUAAGUUUGCCGCCUGGGAAGUACGUACGCAAGUAUGAAACUUAAAGGAAUUGGCGGGGGAGCACCACAAGGGGUGAAGCCUGCGGUUCAAUUGGAGUCAACGCCUGAAACCUUACCCGGAGAGACAGCAGAAUGAAGGUCAAGCUGAAGACUUUACCAGACAAGCUGAGAGGUGGUGCAUGGCCGUCGCCAGCUCGUGCCGUGAGAUGUCCUGUUAAGUCAGGUAACGAGCGAGAUCCCUGCCUCUAGUUGCCACUAUUACACCCUGGUGUAGUAGGGCGAAUUAGGGGGACCGCCGCAGUUAAUGCGGAGGAAGGAAGGGGCCACGGCAGGUCAGUAUGCCCCGAAACUCUGGGGCCACACGCGGGCUGCAAUGGUAACGACAAUGAGUUCCAAAAUCGAAAGAUAGAGGUAAUCCCUAAACGUUACCACAGUUAUGAUUGAGGGCUGCAACUCGCCCUCAUGAAUAUGGAAUCCCUAGUAACCGCGUGUCAUUAUCGCGCAGUGAAUACGUCCCUGCUCCUUGCACACACCGCCCGUCGUUUCAUUGAAGUUUGCCUUUAGCGAGGUGAUGUCUAAUUGGCAUUAU